rnacentral:rRNA from 1 species
AGAGUUUGAUCCUGGCUCAGGAUGAACGUUAGUAGUAUGACUAACACAUGCAAGUCGAACGGCGAAAGGUGUAGUCAAAAAGGAGAAAUCUGAGUAAGAUUGCAUUAAGUAGCAGUGGCGAACGAGUGAAUAAUACUUAUCUUACCUACCAUUCAGUGGAGGACAAAAUACUGCAUAUUCUGGUUUCGGCCAGGAAAGGA